rnacentral:rRNA from 1 species
UACGUAGGGUGCAAGCGUUGUCCGGAAUUAUUGGGCGUAAAGAGCUCGUAGGCGGUCUGUCGCGUCUGCUGUGAAAACUCAGGGCUUAACCCUGAGCUUGCAGUGGGUACGGGCAGACUAGAGUGCGGAGGGGAGACUGGAAUUCCUGGUGUAGCGGUGAAAUGCGCAGAUAUCAGGAGGAACACCGGUGGCGAAGGCGGGUCUCUGGGCCGAGUACUGACGCUGGAGGAAGCGAAAGCGUGGGGAGCGAACAGG